AUGUACAGGCCCAGCCUCUGCCUCACAGCAGACUCUCCAUGCCCAGCUCUUCCCUGUCUGCUGCCUCUCCAGUCCAAAGCUGCGCCUGCCUUUCGGCAACUUGUACGGGCCCAGCUCCUCCCUCACGGUGGCCUCUUUUCGCCCAACUCAUGCCUCUUGCAACCUGCCCAAGUGUCAGCUCCUGCCUCACACUGGCCUCUUGAGGCUCAGCUCAUGCCUCUCGUGGCCUCAACGGGCCCAGCCCCUGCCUGUCGGCGGCCUCUACAGGCCCAGCCUCUACCUCACAGUGGGCUCUCCAGGCCCACCUCUUUCUCACCGUGGCCUCCUGGGGCAAUGCUCCCCGCUCUCGGGAGCCUCUGCGGGCCCAGCUCCUGCCUCCCAGUGGCCUCUGUAGGCCAAGCCCGUGCCUCAGGGCAGCCUUUCCAGGCCUAGCGUUUGCUGCUUUGCAUCCUCUCCAGGCUCUGGACUUCCUCCAGUCGGCCUCUCCAGGCCCAGCUCUUCCUCCCGGCGGCCUCUGCAGGCCCAGACUGUUGUCAAGUCGGCCUGUCCAGGGCCAGCUCCUGCCUCCCGGUGCCCUCUGCAGGCCCAAGUCGUCCUCAAGUCGGCCUCCCCAGGCCCAGCUCCGGCCUCUCGGCGGCCGCUCCAGGUGCAAAAGUUCCUCGAGUCAGCCUCUCCAGGCCCAGCUCCUCCUGCCUCCCAGCGGCCUCUUUCGGCCCAGCCCAGCUCAUGCCUCCCGGCGGCCUUCCCGGCCUCCUGCCUCCCGAAGGCCUGCACAGGCCCAGCCUCAGCCUCACAGCGGACUCUCCACGCCCAGCUAGCUCUCGCCUCACUGCGGCCUCCCAAGUCCAAAGCUCCUGCCUCUCGGCCGCUUUGGCAGGCCCAGCUCCCGCCUGCCAGUGGCCUCUUCAGGCCCAUGGGGCUCAUUCCUCACAACGGCCUUUCCAGGCCCAGUUUUUCCCUUCCGGCGGCCUCUGCGGACCCAGAACCUCCUCAAGUCGGCCUCUCCAGACCCACUUGCAGCCUCCCGGCGUCCUCUCCGGGCCCAGCUCUUCCUCCCGGCUGCGUCUCCAGGCCCGACUGCUGCCUCCCAACAACCUCUUUGGACUCAGCGCCUGCGCAUCUCCUGGCGGCCUUGGUCGGCCCACAGCUUCCUCAAGCCAAGCUCCCCAGGCCCAGGUCAGGCCUCACGGUGGCCUCUCCAGGAUCAGCUCCUGCCCUCCGAUGGCGUCUCCAGGCCCCAAAUGGUCUCCGGUCAGUGGGCUCCUCCACGCCCAGCUUGGGCCUCCCGGUGACCUCUGCAGGCCCAAGUCGUCCUGAAGUCGGCGUCUCCCGGCCCUGCCUCCCAGCAAGUAAGCAAGCUCUUUUGGCUCAACUCCUGCCCAGCUCCCAGCCGCCUUUGUAGGCCCCGAACUUUCUCGAGCCAAGCUCUUCGCGCCCGCCUACUGCCUCUCGGUGGCCUGUACAGGCCCAGCUCUGGCUGUAGAACAGCCUCUGCAGGCUCCGCUCUUGCCUCCCAGAGGCCUCUCCAGGCCCAGCUCUCGCCCCCACGGCGGCCUCCCGGGGCCAAGUCCCUGCCUGCCUCCCGGCAGCCCGCGUGCAGCCCAGUUCCUCCCUCACGGUGGCCUGUUGAUGCCCAACGCAUGCCUCUGACACCCUGUCCAGAGGCAUGAGUCCCUGCCUCACACUGGCUCCUCCCACGCUGAGAGAGGUCCGCAUGAGCCCCUUGCCUCACACCGGCCCCUCCCAUGCUGAGAGAGGUCUGCAUGAGCCCCUUGCCUCGCACCGGCCCCUGCCAUGCUGAGAGAGGUCGGCGUGAGCCCCUUGUCUCGCACCGGCCCCUCCCACGCUGAGAGAGGUCGGCCUGAGCCCCUUGCCUCGCACCGGCCCCUCCCACGCUGAGAGAGGUUGGCGUGAGCCCCUUGCCUCACACUGGCCCCUCCCACGCUGACCCCUUGCCUCACACCAGCCCCUCCCACGCUGACAGAGGUCGGCGUGAGCCCCUUGCCUGACACUAGCCCCUCCCACGCUGACCCCUUGCCUCACACCGGUCCCUCCCACGCUGAUCCCUUGCCUCACACCGGCCCCUCCCAUGCUGACAGAGGUCAGUGUGAGCCCCUUGCCUCACACUGGCCCCUCCCACGCUGAUCCCUUGCCUCACACCGGCCCCUCCCAUGCUGACAGAGGUCAGCGUGAGCCCCUUGCCUCACACCGGCCCCUCCCACACUGACAGAGGUCAGCGUGAGCCCCUUGCCUCACACCGGCCCCUCCCACACUGACAGAGGUCAGCGUGAGCCCCUUGCCUCACACCGGCCCCUCCCACACUGACAGAGGUCAGCGUGAGCCCCUUGCCUCACACCGGCCCCUCCACACUGACAGAGGUCAGCGUGAGCCCCUUGCCUCACACCGGCCCCUCCCACGCUGACCCCUUGCCUCACAGCGGCCCCUCCCACACUGACCCCUUGCCUCACACUGGCCCCUCCCAUGCUGAGAGAGGUCGGCAUGAGCCCUUGCUUCACACCGGCCCCUCCCAGGCUGAGAGAGGUCAGCGUGAGCCCCUGCCUCAACAGGCCACCGUGAGGGAGGAGCAGGGCCGCACGCAGGCUGCCGGGAGCAGGCAGGGACAUGGCCCCGGGCGGCCGCGGUGGGGCGAGAGCUGGGCCUGGGGACGCCCCUGGGAGGCAACAGUGGGGCCUGCAGACGCUCUUCUCCUGCCAGAGCUGGGACUGUACAGGCCACUGGGAGGCAGGAUGUGGGCCUGAAGAGCUUGGCUGCAGAAACUUCGGGGUCUACAAACGCCGGCGGGAGCUGAGCCAAAAGAGCUUGCUUGCUGGGAGGCAGGGGGUGGGCCGGGAGAUGCAGCCGGGAGGAACAGCUGGGCCUGCAGAGGCCGCCAUGCGGGAGGCAGAGGCCAGGCCUCUCCAGACCCACUUGCAACCUCCCGGCGUCCUCUCCGGGCCCAGCUCUUCCUCCCGGCUGCGUCUCUAGGCCCGACUCCGGCCUCCCAACAACCUCUUUGGACUCAGCUCCUGCCCAGCUCCCAGUGGCCCUGGUAGGCCCACAACUUCCUGAAGCCAAGCUCCCCAGGCCCAGGUCAGGCCUCACGGUGGCCUCGCCAGGCUCAGCUCCUGCCCUCCGAUGGCAUCUCCAGGUCCCAAACGGCCUCCGGUCGGUGGGCUCCUCUAGGCCCAGCUUGGGCCUCCCGGCGGCCUCUGCAGGCCCAAAUCGUCCUGAAGUCGGCCUCUCCAGGUCCAGCUCCAGCCUCCCGGCAGCCUCUGCAGGCCUAAGUUGUCCUCAAGUCGGCCUGGAAGUGGGCCUGGAAGAGCUGCAAGUUGGCCUCCCUGGGCCCAGCUCCGUCCUCUUGGCCUCUCCAGGUGCAAAACUUCCUCGAGUCAGCCUCUCCAGGCCCAGCUCCUCCUGCCUCCCAGUGGCCUCUUUUGGCCCAGCCCAGCUCAUGGCUCUCAGCAGCCUUCCCAGGCCCCGCUUUUGACUUUUGGUGGCCUCUUCAGGCCCAGAACUUGACCUCCAGUCGGCCUUUGCAGGCCCGGCUUCCUGCCUCUCGAAGGCCUGCACGGGCCCAGCCUCAGCCUCACAGCGGACUCUCCACGCCCAGCUAGCUCUCGCCUCACUGCGGCCUCCCCAGUCGAAAGCUCCUGCCUUUCGGCCGCUUUGGCAGGCCCAGCUCCUGCCUGCCAGUGGCCUCUUUAGGCCCAGCUCAUUCCUCACAACGGCCUUUCCAGGCCCCGUUUUUCCCUUCCGGCAGCCUUUUGGCCUCUAAUUUGUUUAUCUUUUGUGUAUAAAUCCCAAAAUAUGGAAUUUUGGAAUAUUGCUACCAUUAUAUAAAUAUUUUCGUAUGUAA